AACGCUGCUGCCGGUUGCCAAAGCUAAG
rnacentral:sRNA from 1 species